rnacentral:rRNA from 1 species
UACGAAGGGUGCAAGCGUUAAUCGGAAUUACUGGGCGUAAAGCGUGCGUAGGCGGUCUUUUAAGUCUGCUGUGAAAUCCCUCGGCUCAACCGAGGAACUGCCUUUCAAACUGCUUGGCUUGAGUCCGGGAGAGGUGAGUGGAAUUCCCAGUGUAGCGGUGAAAUGCGUAGAUAUUGGGAGGAACACCAGUGGCGAAGGCGGCUCACUGGACCGGAACUGACGCUGAGGCGCGAAAGCGUGGGGAGCAAACGGG